UACGUAGGGUGCGAGCGUUAAUCGGAAUUACUGGGCGUAAAGCGUGCGCAGGCGGUGAUGUAAGACAGAUGUGAAAUCCCCGGGCUCAACCUGGGAACUGCAUUCAAAACUGACGAGCUAGAGUAUGGUAGAGGGUGGUGGAAUUUCCUGUGUAGCGGUGAAAUGCGCAGGAUAUCAGGAGGAACACCGAUGGCGAAGGCAGGUCGCUGGGCAUUAACUGACGUGAGGAGCGAAAGCAUGGGGAGCGAACGGAUAGAAACCCCGGU
rnacentral:rRNA from 1 species